UACGAAGGGGGCUAGCGUUGUUCGGAAUUACUGGGCGUAAAGGGCGCGUAGGCGGUGUGUCAAGUCAGGCGUGAAAGCCCCGGGCUCAACCUGGGAAUAGCGCUUGAGACUGAGCGACUUGAGUUCGGGAGAGGAGAGCGGAAUUCCCAGUGUAGAGGUGAAAUUCGUAGAUGAUUGGGAAGGAACACCGGUGGCGAAGGCGGCUCUCUGGGACGGUACUGACGCGUGAGACGCGGAAAGCGUGGGGAGCGAACAGG
rnacentral:rRNA from 1 species